rnacentral:rRNA from 1 species
UACGUAGGGUGCAAGCGUUAAUCGGAAUUACUGGGCGUAAAGCGUGCGCAGGCGGUUAUAUAAGACAGAUGUGAAAUCCCCGGGCUCAACCUGGGAACUGCAUUUGUGACUGUCUAGCUAGAGUACGGCAGAGGGGGAUGGAAUUCCGCGUGUAGCAGUGAAAUGCGUAGAUAUGCGGAGGAACACCGAUGGCGAAGGCAAUCCCCUGGGCCUGUACUGACGCUCAUGCACGAAAGCGUGGGGAGCAAACAGG